rnacentral:rRNA from 1 species
CGUGGAGACAGGUGGUGCAUGGCUGUCGUCAGCUCGUGUCGUGAGAUGUUGGGUUAAGUCCCGCGACGAGCGCAACCCUCACCCCUAGUUGCCACCGGGUUAAGCCGAGCACUCAAGGGGAACUGCCAGCGUCAAGCUGGAGGAAGGCGGGGAUGACGUCAAGUCAUCAUGCCCCUUACGCCCUGGGCUACACACGUGCUACAAUGGCCAGUACAAAGGGACGCGAGACUGCGAAGUGGAGCUAAUCCCAAAAAGCUGGACUAAGUUCAGAUUGCAGUCUGCAACUCGACUGCAUGAAGGAGGAAUCGCUAGUAAUCGCGCAUCAGCACGGCGCGGUGAAUACGUUCCCGGGCCUUGUACACACCGCCCGUCACACCACGAAAGCUGUCUGUACUCGAAGUCGCUGAG